UACAGAGGUCUCAAGCGUUGUUCGGAUUCAUUGGGCGUAAAGGGUGCGUAGGCGGCGCGGUAAGUCGGGUGUGAAAUCUCGGAGCUUAACUCCGAAACUGCAUUCGAUACUGCUGUGCUUGAGGACUGGAAAGGAGACUGGAAUUUACGGUGUAGCGGUGAAAUGCGUAGAUAUCGUAAGGAAGACCAGUGGCGGAGGCGGGUCUCUGGACAGUUCCUGACGCUGAGGCACGAAGGCCAGGGGAGCAAACGGG
rnacentral:rRNA from 1 species